rnacentral:misc_RNA from 1 species
GUACAGGGAUGCACUAUUGGAGGAGGGUGAGGAGUGAUAUUUGCUGCCAUAGCCCCGCUAAAAUCCUCAUGAUAUGAAUGUGCCAAUUGGAGAAUUUCCUGAUAGCCUUGAUUUUGAUUCCUAAAGAGCAUGACAUUCCUGCUCUUCCAUAUCUGCAACAUGAUAAAAACUGAUAAUUGCUGCAAGAUUUCCUCUUCUUCAUGAGAUAACAGCAAUGAGAAAUUUCAGACCAACAUCCUUUAAUAACCAACCUGUCUAACAUGGUUGAUCGAAGGCAUAGAGGAGAGUUAAACCAUGUAGCUCUUGUUAUCGGACAUUCAAAAAAUAGGUGCUUUGUUG